rnacentral:lncRNA from 1 species
GUUGAUGACCUUGGGGGGUUGAUUGCAUUAUAAGCUGGUGCCCUUUGCUGAAGGAUAUCUCCUGUGCUCUUCAGUGGCAGAAGCAAAAUAAAAACAUUUCAUUUUAUGGAAGCAGUUAGACACACAUCUGUUGUUCCAGAACUUCCAUAUUAAAUGCUUGUCUACACAGGCCAUGUCAAUUAAAACUGUCUGUAUGCAACAACAAAAAAUUUAAGUCAUAUUGAUAUACAAUGACUGUUACAGAAUUUGGCCCCUUUUUAUUUUGUCUUAAUGGAAAGGAAGCCUUUCAUUCCUUGAGUAGUUAAAAACUUAGGUUUAUCUCUGUUGUAACCAAACUAAGACGAAUGAUACUAAUUCAUUUGGCUUUUAUAUCUAUUUAAAUCUUGUAAAAAAAUAGCUUUUCACCUCUAUAACCCUAGCAUUGAACUUGGUGGCUAUUUAAUAAAUAAUUAUACAGUGAUUAAAGGAAUGUAUGAGUGAGAAUAAGAAAAAAAACUUUGAGAUUCUUAAAACAAGGUGAAAUUAUAUUUGAAAAUACAGACUUUAUUUGAGAAUUAAACUUUAUUUUUAUUCUCAGUACUAACAGCUAAAAUAGUAAAAUUAAUGAUGUUAAUUUUUUUUUGUUUGUUUUUUGAGAUGGAGGCUUGCUCUGUCACUGAGGCUGGAGCAUAAUCUCAGCUCACUACAACCUCUGCCUCCUGGGUUUAAGUGAUUCUCCUGCCUCAGCCUCCUGAGUAGCUGAGAUUAUAGUCGUGUGCCACCACAGCUGGUUAAUUUUUGUAUUUUUAGUAGAGAUGGGGUUUUCACCAUGUUGGCCAGCCUGGUUUUGAACACAUGACCUCAAGUGAUCUGCCAGCUUCAGCCUCCCAAAGUGCUAGGAUUACAGGCAUAAGCCACCACGCUCGGCCAAUAAAUACUUUUGAAGAAACAUAGAUAUACACACAAAUUAUGUCAUAUCUACAGAUUGCCAAAUUAUUACCCCAAGUUGAUUGUGUUUCAGGAAAUAAGCUUCCAGAUAAAAGAUACUAUAAAAUAUUUAGCAUAAAUAUUUGAUUUCCUUUAAUUUUUUCAGCUUUUUGAUUUUACAUUAAAUAUUUCUUAGUAUCUUUCAUCUAGACUUUUACUCCCUAGAAGGUAAAAAAAAA